rnacentral:rRNA from 1 species
UACGAAGGGGGCUAGCGUUGCUCGGAAUCACUGGGCGUAAAGCGCACGUAGGCGGAUUGCUAAGUCAGGGGUGAAAUCCUGGAGCUCAACUCCAGAACUGCCUUUGAUACUGGCGACCUUGAGUCCGGGAGAGGUGAGUGGAACUGCGAGUGUAGAGGUGAAAUUCGUAGAUAUCGGGAGGAACACCAGUGGCGAAGGCGGCGAUCUGGGAAGAUACUGACGCUGAGGUGCGAAAGCGUGGGGAGCAAACAGG